rnacentral:rRNA from 1 species
AUUGAACGCUGGCGGCAUGCUUUACACAUGCAAGUCGGACGAGUGGCGAACGGGUGAGUAACGCAUCGGAACGUACCGAGUAAUGGGGGAUAACUGUCCGAAAGGACAGCUAAUACCGCAUAUUAUUCGAGCGGCCGAUGUCUGAUUAGCUGGUUGGCGGGGUAAAGGCCCACCAAGGCGACGAUCAGUAGCGGGUCUGAGAGGAUGAACGGCCACAUUGGGACUGAGACACGGCCCAGACUCCUACGGGAGGCAGCAGUGGGGAAUCUUCCGCAAUGGACGAAAGUCUGACGGAGCAACGCCGCGUGAAUGAAGAAGGCCUUCGGGUUGUAAAGUUCUUUCGGUGACGAGGCGUUAAUCACAGAAGAAGCACCGGCUAACUCCGUGCCAGCAGCCGCGGUAAUUC